UGGCCCUGUAGCUGCGGGAGAGCGACCUGUGCGUGCGCCUCGGGGAACCGCUCCCAGUCACUGACUGAGCUGCCCGACAGGUUCCGCAGAGCAUUGUACAAGUUGGUUGAUGACAGUGCGACUAAUUGUGAUGAAUUUCUUGGUGACGUAUUUUCUUUGAGAACAAAACCAAACACGACAACCAAAUUAUCACCCUCUGGACUACUGUAUGGCUUUGAGGCAAGUUUCCCAGACUAAAUCUCAGACAACUACACGCCAACAGAUUUGAGGAACUUGAUGAAGAAUACUACAAAGAGUACAUCAUGAAAAUUGAAGCUAGACGUGAUGCUGAAACUAAAUUGGCUAUCAGUAAUAUUUCAAAUGCACAGGAAAAGCAACAAAUACAGUAUGCCAAAAUGAAGACUCGUAAACAUGGGGAAAUAACAUUCAAGGUUGGUGACACUGUCAUGUUACUGAAUGCGAGAAGGAAAACAAGAAAGGGAGGGCAGCUACAACCUACCUACGUGGGACCAUACAAAACUGCCGCUGCAUGGGCAAAAGAGUUAACUUAGAAAACAAGAUAGGGAAAGGUUUAGCAAAGUUGUACAGUAUUUCCCAACUAAAAGUAUUUAAAGAGCCUCCAAAAUUAGGUGAGGAAAACAUAUCACAGAGAAACAUGGAAAAGGAACCUGCUGUGGAUGUGUCAUAAACAGAUAAGUAAGAGUUAAUAAAACAGAAGUACUUCAUAUCUCUUUUGACUGUAAAGGGUUAAC